CCUACGUGAGGCUGCAGUGGGGAAUAUUGCACACUGGGGGAAACCCUGAUGCCGCGACGCCGCGUGAAGGAAGAAGUAUUUCGGUAUGUAAACUUCUAUCAGCAGGGAAGAAAAUGACGGUACUUGACUAAGAAGCCCCGGCGAACUACGUGCCAGCAGCCGCGGUAUUACGUAGGGGGCACGCGGUAUCCGGAUUUACGGGGUGGAACGGGAGCGUAGGCGGCGAUGCAAGUCAGAAGGGAAAGCCCGGGGCUCAACUCCGGGAAUGCAUUUGAAACUGUCUUGCUAGAUUGCAGGAGAGGUAAGUGGAAUUCCUAGUGUAGCGGUGAAAUGCGUAGAUAUUAGGAGGAACACCAGUGGCGAAGGCGGCUUACUGGACUGUAAAUGACGCUGAGGCUCGAAAGCGUGGGGAGCAAACAGGAUUAGAUACCCCAGUAGUC
rnacentral:rRNA from 1 species